CCUUGAUCGCUGUGAAAAACUGAAAAGCUUUCCUGUCUUUAAAGAUGUUGCUCUGAAUGGCUUCCAAUACUUGAAGAAAAUUGCUGGUGAUAAUAAACGUCCUGAUUUCACUAAAGAUCAGCUUCGUCAUUGGGUGCUUAAGUAUCAGAAUGCUGCUUCGUUUUUCUGUAGUUUCGUUGAUCAGACACCUGUUAUUUACAGGGUAUGAGUAAAAAAUGAAAACAAUGCACCCGUAGACGUUUCUACUCUUGAUGAGAAGGCUAGAUUUGAUUUUCUCGGAUCUAGCAUUACACAAGCUAGGAAGUACUUGGUGGAAACUGAGUUUUUCAGAAGGUGCGAGGAGUUUGAAAAAAUGGCAAUGUGUCUGUUGGUGACAUUUUUGUCCAAUUUGCGAAGAACUACUUUGCCAGGGCAAUAGUGUCUUGUGCUCUUGUGGACAAUUUUUCUGGUGGAGACAUUCAAGGUAUUUUUCAUUUUUUAUGUUUUUCAGUUAGCUUAUUCACUAUGUUUUUGUUAAUUUAUCUGUUUUUAUACAGAUUUUGUUCUUGUUUUGUUUUGUUCAGUUAAAUGUAUUUCUGCUAGUGGGGAAUAUUUGUCCUUCACAUCCAAUGUUGCUCAAGUGUACCUGGACUCAUAUGUAGAUUUAGAGAUACACAAGGACAUAGUGUUGUUGUUGUUUGUAUCAAUUGAGUCAAAGGAUAGAGCAUAUGCUGUUUUAAAGUUAACUCCGUUUAAGAAAUGGGAAACUCUGGCAUUUUUUCAUCGGUUAGGUGUCUUUCGGAAAGCGUAUGUUCAUCGUAUUGUAUUUGCCAAGUUUGGGGAUGAAAUUAAUUCGCUUGCGGACCAUACGAAGGAUCUGUUCAAUUCAAAAACAGGUAGUAUUGGGCCGAAAUUUGCUGAUUUGGGUAAGGUGAAGGAAAUUUUCUCUAAGGUGACGCGAGUGAGAUGUUUUGGGUUUCCAGCCAUUGAAUACAAAGGUGUCCAGGUGUCAGGGCUCUUUCCUAGUUCCGACGAUGUUGCCAUCAAGGAACUGCUUUGUGGCAAUUGUGUUGCUGGGUGGGUUUGAUUCCUGACUUACAAGUUCAACGGGAUCUUUACUAUGUUAAUAGGGAAUUGGGUAUUGGUUUAAAUCAAUAUGCUAUGUUGAAUUAUGCCAUGCUUGUUAGGUUUUGUGGAGAUUGUAUAGAGUUUAGAUUAGUCACAAUAAAACAAAAGUUCAGAGUUUAGGUGCUUACUACACUUACACAAUCUCCACACAACCUGACAAGCAUGACUUGUUUCAACAGAGCAUACUGAUUUAAACCCAAUACUCAAUUCCUAUUAACAUAGUAAAGAUCCCGAGGAACUUGUAACUUAGGAAUCAAACCCACCCAGCAACGCGAUUGCCACAAAGCAGUUCCUUGAUGGGAACACCGUCGGAACCAGGAAAGAGCCUUGACACUCGGACACCUUUGUAUUCAAUGACUGGAAACCCAAAACAUCCCACUAGCCUCACCUUAGAGAAAAUUUCCUUCACCUUUCCCAAAUCAGCAGACUUCGGCCUAAUCCUACCUGUUUUAGAAUUGAACAGAUCCUUCAUAUGGUCAGCAAGCAAAUUAAUGUCAUCCUCAAACUUGGCAAAUACAAUACAAUGAACAUACGCUUUCCGAAAGACACCCAUCCGAUGAGAGAAGGCCAAAAUUCCGCAUUUCUUUAACAUAGGAGUUAACUUUAAAACAGCAUAUGCUCCAUCCUUUGACUCAAUUGAUACAAACAACACCUUGUCCUUGUGCAUCUCCAUACGAGUCCAGGUACUUUUGAGCAACAUUGGAUGUGAAAGACAAACAUUCUCCACUAGCAGAAAUACAUUUAACUGAACAAAAUCUCUAUAAAUUAACAAAAACGUGAAUAACCUAAAUGAAAAAUACCUUGAAUGUCUGCACCAGACGUUAAGAUCUUUGAAUUUAAAAAAAAAACACAUAAAUUUAAGGUUGGAUACAUUAAUAAGGAUUAAAAAAGGAUACCUUCUGAAAAACUCAGUUUCCACCAAGUACUUCCUAGCUUGUGUAAUGCUAGAUCUGAGAAAAUCAAAUCCAGCGUUCUUAGCAAGAGUUGAAACGUCUACGGGUGCGUGUAGUAAGCACCUAAACUCUGAACUUCUGUUGUAUUGCACAAGUCGUGACUUCCCUGCUCUGUCUCUUAACCAAACAAGUUUUUAAGUUUUUGUGAUUUAGAAAUAAAACUGUACUUCUUUUCUUUCUUAUUUUUGUGAUUUAGAAAUAAACUUGUACUUUUCUUAGUUUUUAAGUUUUCAAAUGCAAGCCCACUGAAACAAAUUUGCAUAUAUAACUAGGACAUGAAUGAGUGCACCAUCAUACUGGAGAUGAGAGUUCAAUUACAGUUGAAGAUCGAACAAGCGAGAGCAAUGAUAUGAGACUUUGAAUUUCCCUAU